UCGUUAGCUCAGUUGGUAGAGCAGUUGACUUUUAAUCAAUUGGUCGCAGGUUCGAAUCCUGCACGA
rnacentral:tRNA from 20 species